AUUGAACGCUGGCGGCAUGCCUUACACAUGCAAGUCGAACGGCAGCAUGGAAGAGCUUGCUCUUCUGAUGGCGAGUGGCGAACGGGUGAGUAAAGCAUCGGAACGUACCGUGUAGUGGGGGAUAACGUAGCGAAAGUUACGCUAAUACCGCAUACGCACUGAGGUGGAAAGCAGGGGAUCGCAAGACCUUGCGCUAUACGAGCGGCCGAUGUCAGAUUAGCUAGUUGGUAGGGUAAAGGCCUACCAAGGCGACGAUCUGUAGCGGGUCUGAGGGGAUGAUCCGCCACACUGGGACUGGGACACGGCCCAGACUCCUACGGGAGUCAGCAGUGGGGAAUUUUGGACAAUGGGCGAAAGCCUGAUCCAGCCAUGCCGCGUGAGUGAAGAAGGCCUUCGGGUUGUAAAGCUCUUUCGGCUGGGAAGAAAUCGCACAGGCUAAUACACUGUGUGGAUGACGGUACCAGCACAAGAAGCACCGGCUAACUACGUGCCAGCCGCCGCCGUAA
rnacentral:rRNA from 1 species